CCAGAUUUAGGCUUGCGAAAUGGAUCUUCUAUGUUACCAUGAGAACGCUUCUUCGACCAUGGAACACAUGCAACUCACUCGUCUCAGCACAAAUAUGAGCCCCAUUUGCUGCCACUAGUUGCUCUCACGAGGAGUUAUUAACAUUAGGACCUCUUGAGCACCCCACGUCACCUCGUUGCUGACAUCAAAAUUGCCCGAGCACUGUCAGAAGCUGUACAUCUUCUACCUCUCUGUUCAAUAUUAUUGUUAUUAAUUGCUUCUCCUCCUUGAUUCAUUUUCACCUGUAACAGUUCCUUCCUCCACCCUCCUCCCUCCCCCUCUCAAACCCAGCUUCUCAUUUGGACCUCCACAGAGCCAUGAAAAUCACCUUCCACAGAGACCAUUUUCAGAGUCUUCCCAUCUCAUAGUCAUACCACUUGUACACAAACCCAUUUCUCAAUGCCACGAGAAAUUCGUUUGUUUGAAUCUAUAUAUUAUUACUGUUGCUAUCAAGGGAAUCGAUUUGGGUAAUUUUGAUAAUAUUAUAUGGAGGAAUUUGUGUUUGAUGUUGGGGUGAGCAUUACAAAUCAAGUUGGACUAAAUGGUUGUAUUCCUGACACCACAAAGAAACUCAAUUCAGAAGAAACAAUAGCAAAAAUAGAUGGAUGUGUGUUUUUUAACGUCAACGCAUGUUAGCACGCGAUGAAAAUUGAAUUUAAUAGGACAAAAUUGAAAUAAAAGGGAUUUGAUUGAUUUUAAUUAAAAGUUGAGGGUCUAAUUGAGCCUAAACUUUAUUCAAGUGCUUAAUUGUAUUUUUGAAUACUUUAAGAGCUUAUUUAUACCUUUACUAUCUUCUAGAAGUGUGUACAACCUGUUGGUUAAGUUCCGAACUGAACCAAACCAUAAAAACCAAAUAAUUGAAAAGUGUAUUUUUACGAACUUAAGUCAAAUUGAACUAAUAAUUAAAUCGAAUCAAACUAAAUUGAAUUUUUCCGGUUCGGUCUGCCAGUUAUGGGACAUUUUCUUCUCCUCAAUUACAGAGAAAAACUUCCCCAAAAUCACCACAACAACACAAAAUCACAACAAAAAGUCACUCAAAUACAAAAUCACCAAAAUAUAAUGAAAAAAAGUAAGAAAUUAACUCAAAUACAUUUCUACCUAAACAAAUCUGCAAAUUUAAAAUCACAAUUCACAAAUUUGCAAAUUCUUAAUUUUACAACAUAAAAUCACCAACAUGCAACAGGCGAGUUGAAGCAAAGGAGAGGAGUCUUGAAAAUGCAACAUGCGAAGCGAUGAGCAUUGACUGAUCCAUGAGUUGAAUGAUUGAAAAAAGUCUUGAUCUCACCUUGAAUGGACGAGAAGACGAGGACGUAACAGGCUAGAGGUAAGGGCGAGUCUUUGAUAACUGGAGAAGCAACACAACAUGCGGGGACACAAAAGCGAUGAGAUGCGUCGCAGAUCAAAGAAUCAACGAGAUGAGUACAAAGCAACGAGGAGGCACUUCACUCCUUUGAUUUUAUAAUGCACAAAUCAUUCAAACUAAUCACCUUUUUUAUAAUGCACCCUUAUACAUAUGAUUUUGUAUGAUUAAAUUUUGAAGAUCGUGGGUAUAAUUUGAUCUAAUUAUAAAUUAUUAUAUUAAAAAUUUUUAAUUAAAUAUUAAUGAGGUAUUGAAGUUGUCUCUAAGGUUAUAACACUUAAAGUUUCGAAUCCAAUUGAACUCAAUUUAUAAAA
rnacentral:misc_RNA from 1 species